UGUGAUCAAGUCAGAUUCAGGUUUCUAUCCUUUCAUGGUGGGAGCUGGCCCAGAUGGCUCCACAAGGUCUGCUGCUCAUGGGCUCUGCGCCCUGCAUUGGGACCUGUGGACAAGUGUAGCUGCAGACAAAA